GCCUGAGUGGCUCAGUCGGUUAAGCAUCUGACUUGGGCUCAGGUCAUAAUCUCACAGUAUGUGAGUUCGAGCCUCACAUUGGGCU
rnacentral:tRNA from 1 species